UGCCUUAUGCAUGCAAAUAGAACGGGUCAGCCGCAAGGCUGAUCAGUUGUGAACGGCUGAGUAUAUGAUAGGAAUCUCCCCAAUGGUGUGGAAUACCCCAUCGAAAGAUGGGCUAAUACCGCAUGACAUCGCAAGAUAAAAGCGCUUAACUGCGCGCCGAUGGAUGAGCCUAUCUCCCAUCAGGCUGUUGGUAGGGUAAUGGCCUACCAAACCUAUGACGGGUACCCGCCCUGAGAGGGGAAACGGGCAGAAUGGGACUGAGACACGGCCCAUACACCUACGGGUGGCAGCAACAGGGAUUCGUGCGCAAUGGACGAAAGUCUGACGCCGCAAUGCCGCGUUAUGAUGAAGGCCUUCGGGUCGUAAACUCC
rnacentral:rRNA from 1 species